GCCCUAGAAAUAGUAUGGUUUGUGUCUGAGUCUCAUUAAGCCCCUUAUGAAGAAAUCGCAUUUAAAAUAUUUUUCUUCCUACCACAGACGUGGGCCUGGAAUAUCAGGCCCAAUUGAGAAAAGUCUCCAUCCUGUCAUUUCCGAUUCUUCUGUCUCUCAUUUCCUAUUCCUCUGAAAGACUCCCCAAAGAACCAGGCCUCCCUCAUUUAUGAACUCAUGAAAAUAGAUAACUCAGAGGCGCUGACCCAUCAGUUUAUCAGCAUUUUGUGUUCAGCUGAGACUCUGUCUUCGUGUAAUUCUAAUUCAAUAUAUGGUAAUUCAGGCGCCAUGUUAGCCAUUGUGUGAAAAAGAUAUAGCUCGUGAGUCAUUUUGUCACUCUUUUUUAUAUAGAGAAGAAAUCAAACAUGUGUUUACUAAUGGCCAGCUUCUGUGCUGGGCGUUUGACCCAGAUUAGCUUUAGAAAUCCUCAAGGCGAAGUUCUGAGUUGGUCACAGGCAUCAUUCCCACUUUACAGAUGAAAAUAUGAAUACUUAGAGAACUUCAGAAAUUUGGCUAUGAUUACUCAGUGGAGCUAAAAUAAUUAGUAAAGCUGGAAUAGUAUGUGAACCCCAGAAAACCAGGAACAAAAGAAAGUAAUGAAUAUACAAGGCGUGAAAAUAAUGUUUAAAAGUUGAUGCAAGAAUAUAGGUUUCUUGAGACUCAAGGACGUAGAGAACAGACUUGUGGUUGCCAAGGGGGAGGAGAAAGGGAGAGUGAUGGACUGGGAGUUUGGGGUUGGUAGAUGCAAAUGAUUACAUUUAGAAUGGUCCUCCUAUAUAGCACAGGGAACUAUAUUCAGUCUCUUGGGAGAGAACAUGAUGGAAGAUCAUAUGAGAAAAAGAAUGUAUAUGUAUGUAUGACUGGGCCACUAUGCUAUACAACAGAAAUUGGCACCACACUGUAAAUCAACUAUGCCCUGAUUAAAAAAGAAAAAAGGAAUAUAGAUUUCUUAACUAAGUGGGGGUAUAUGGAUUUUUACAGAACAAACUCCUCUAUGACAAACACCAGCUUGGGAAAAAAAAAAAGCAAAAAAAAGAAUACUGACAUUUAUUUGGAGCAGUAGUAUAUUUGCUGAUAGGACUUAUCUGAUAGGUCCAUCUAAUUCCCUGGCAGUGAGUGAGGAAUUUUAAAAGGGAAAAUCCAUGUUAUCAGGAGGCUUGUGACUAUUCCUCCAUUCUAAGAAUGUAUCCCUAAUUGCUUAGUCUGUGACUUUAAUUCCACCCAUACUCUAUUUCAGCUAGAGGAGGAAGUGUACUGAGGAGCCUAUGCCUCCAGGGAUAUUGGUCGAUGAUCAGUGUCAAUUGCAUUUUGUUUCCAUACCCAUCGCACACACUUCUGCCAUGGUUCUGACCCCUUUUGGUCAAUGCUUCUGACUUUGGGUUCUGGAGAUACCAACCAAGCCUCCUUUCUUAUCUAGGUUCUGGCCCCUUGUAGCCAGUGUUUCUUUGUCUCUGCCUCCCACUAGUAGUCAAAUGUUUAUAAAACUGGUUUCUACUUCCUCUGACAUGUUUGGUUAUAACCAUAAUGAAUUUGGCCAGCUACUGCAUAUCUGUUGGUUUUCUCUUUCCAGUGCCCCUACCCUCUUCAGCUAACAGGACCACUUGUCCCUUGUGAAGGAAGGCUUUUCACACAGGUUGGGGUAGGGCUGACACUGCACUAUUCACACCACAUGCACUGCACUUGUUUCAGAAACAGGCCCCUGACUCAACCUGGAUCAAGUCCUCAGUGGGACCUCCUAGUCUGAGUGCUCUGAACACUUUUUCGUCUGAAGAAGUUCUUAAGGCAAGUGGAAAUAUUACUUGAACCCAUGGUUAUAUACAGUUCUGAAGCCAGUAAGAGUCUAUUUGUGCUAGCAUUUUUUAAAAACUAAAUUUGAUUAAGAUUUUUGUCACUUGCAACCAGAAUGCCUGUGGGUAAAUCACCGAUCUAAAUGAAAACUUGACUGUGAUUACGUAGACUCUGGAUUUUGUGUCUCUACUUAGAUCUAUGGCAUUU
rnacentral:lncRNA from 9 species